UGGGAAUUUACUGGACCAAGCCCUGGUUUACUCACAUCUAUCCAGUAUUUAAGAAACGGUACCACAGAUGCCAGAAUAAAUACAGACUGUGACAUUCCAGCAACUGGACACGAACAUCUACACAAGGAUGAAGACAUUACAUGCAAUGCUACUGAUGCUGUUUGUUGCAUCAGUCUUUUCAAAAGCGUUUGAUUUGCGCAGAAGAUUUGAUUCAUCAGACUCUGUGCGAUCUAGAUUCAGUUCAGAGGAAAAUGAUUCAAGCAGAGAAGACAGGAAGGAUUCACAGUCCGAUGAGAGUUCUGAAUCAAAUGAGUCUAAAUCAAGUGAAUCUGAAUCUUCGGAAGAAGUUAUCAGAGUUGUGUCAAGCACAACAUCAGCUACCACAACACAAGACAUCACACACUGUGUUACUGUGGAUUUGACAACUGUAAGAAGGGGUGAUAAUGAUAAUGUCAAUAUAAUACCUUGCAGUAAUACUAUUUAAUCAUCUUUUCAUGCAAAACAAACAAAAGUUGAAUGGUGUUCUGUAUUUUACAGUAUAAAGUAAUGUUUAUGUUCUGAUAAUGAAGGUCUUGAUACUGAAUGAUGUAACUUUUAAAAUUACUUUUAAAUUGCAUGUCCCCAUUAUGGUUUUAAGUGUUCAUUCAGAAUAAAAAUAUUUC